GAGAAGAAAGGAAGACCGGGGAGAGAGGGAGAGAGAGAGCCAUCCGUCACCGCGAGCGGCGCCGCCCUGGAGCGUUGCGAUGCUACUGCUGGCUUCUUCCUGCGAUGCUACUGAGGUUGAAGAAAGCUUCUGUCUAGGUUGAGCCGGAGCCAGAGGAGAGGCCCAAGGUCGGUGCCGUGGCAGCGGCGCAUGGGGAGGCGGCGGAGGAGAAGGUUGUGUUCCCGAUGACGUGGACGGACGAUGAUGAGUCGUGCCCGGAGGGGACGGUGCCGGUGCGGCGGACGACGAAACGCGACGUGCUGAGGUCCAACUCCUCUCUCUGUUUCGGGAUGAAGCAGCCUCGUGUCGGCGUGCCGCUGGUGUCGUCCGCGUGAGGAAGAAGAUGGGAUGGGGGGUCGCUGACAGGUGGGGUCCAUAAGCUGACUCAGCUAGUCAACGGAGGGUCCACCGUCACGUAAGUGUCACGUAGGACAAAACCGCCUCCGAAACCGCCGAGGGAGGUGAUUUGCUCUGGUUUUCAGAGAAGGAGGAGGCAUUAUACCCGGUUUUCCGGUUGAGGGAUAUUAUUCAUGCAAGCGCAAGAGAUGAG